AAAUUGAGUCUAAGUUAUUUGAAAAAUACUUUUCAAAAGAAAUCUGGAAGCUCAAUUUGCGCCGAAACUACAUCAAACGAUGGCAAUAGUAUAUUAGAAAAUAUAAGCCUAGAAGACCGCGAAUUUACGAGCGAAUCAGGUCCGAACAGAGUGACGUCUUCGUCUUCCUGUGAGCCAGAGAGAACCCUCAAAGACAUAAAAUACAAUGAAACCAACAAGGAUAAGCAAAACGGAUUUUUUAGGAACAUUAAAAAGCGCUUACACAUCAAAGAUCUGACACUCUGUAAAUCAAAGCAAAAGAUCAAAGCAAUUGAACCAUCCAGUCCAUCGUACAGUCUCAGCGAUACCUUUAAACUAACUCCGACACAGUUGCCAAUUGUACUACUACAAGAGAAAGAGCUGGACUCGAACAUUACUCAAAAUGGUACAGGCCCAGUGAAUGGCUACUUGCAGCAUACUCAAAAUAUUUCACAAAAUACUUCAAUCGAUGAAGAAAACAGGCUGCAAGAACCUGAGUACAUAUCAUCAGGUGUCGGUAAUGUGGCAGAGCCACAAGCACAGGCUAGUAGUUCAAGAGAAUCUGAGGAAACAAAGCCAGAUUCAGAGAGCAAAAAUGAAAAAAAGUUCAACUUAACGGAGGAGCUGCUCAAGCUCAGUAAGUACGGAUGGUAUUGGGGACCAAUUUCUAGAGACGAGGCCGAUACCAAACUUGCUAACGAACCCGACGGAGCAUUUCUAGUACGAGAUUCCUCUGCUGACAAGUAUCUGUUGACUCUGAGUUUCAAAUCGUCAGGGAAAUUGCUUCACACAAGAGUAGAACAUAGCGGUGGUUUAUUUUCAUUAUAUUAUCAUCCAGAGUGCGAACGAUUUUCUUCGGUAGUGGCAUUGAUAAAUCACUCCAUGAGUUUUAGCCAGUCAGCUGUUUAUUGUUAUUCUCGUCCAAGAUAUCCUGGUCAUCCAGCUUUUCCAGUUAGAUUGACAAAGCCAGUUAGUCGAUUUACUCAAGUCAGAAGUUUACAAUACCUCUGUCGUUUUGUAAUUAGACAAAACACCAGAGUUGAUAAUAUCGAUAAGCUACCUUUGCCCGAUCCUAUUAGAGAAUAUAUAGAAGAGGCUCAUUAUUAAUAUAUUAUAUAUUAUCAUUUAGCAUGCAAAACAAUACAGUGCCUUUGGUAACUGGAGUACAACCAUCCGUAUGUUUGUAUUCCAUUAUUCUCCAAGCUAGCUUUUAUAUAAUAUAUACAUACAAUAUGUAUAUACCCUGAUGAAAAAACUGGAAAACGAAAAAUUUAAAAGAAACGUGUUAGGAAAUUUCAUGUGUUAAUUAUUUAUGCUUUAUUUAAAGCAACGAUUUUAAUGCUGGAUGAAUUUUUUUGAUUAAUAUUUGUCUAUUUUACGAAACUCAUUGCAUAUAAUCUCACGGUAAAUGAAGGAAUACUAAAAAAAAAUUCUUUUGUGCUCAGGCAGCAACAAUAAUUGAAAAAGUUGAUUGUAAAUACUUACUCAUAGGAAUCUGAAUAAAAUCUCAAAAUCAAUCAAAUAUUGCGCAUUGAUGAAAAAAAAAAUUUUUGAAGUAGUUUGAUUAUUAUUAAUUUCUAUAAAUUUGUUUUUAAUUUAAUCUAAGACUGAAAAUCGUUGAUGAGUUGAAUGUGGAGUAAUAAAUGAAACCCUACUAGUCGUGGAAAAGCGUGUAUGGAAAACUAUUGUGAAUCCCCAAUUCUCAAUAAGUAAAUUCAAGAUUUAUUGUGAGGUAGUACGAGU
rnacentral:misc_RNA from 1 species